rnacentral:rRNA from 1 species
GUCUACGGCCAUGCCACCCUGAACAAGCCCGAUGUCUGAUCUCGGAAGCUAAGCAGGGUCAGGCCUGGUUAGUACUUGGAUGGGAAACCACCUAAGAAGAGCAGGUGCUGUAGGCA